AUUGAACGCUGGCGGCAGGCCUAACACAUGCAAGUCGAGCGGAUGAAGGGAGCUUGCUCCUGGAUUCAGCGGCGGACGGGUGAGUAAUGCCUAGGAAUCUGCCUGGUAGUGGGGGAUAACGUCCGGAAACGGGCGCUAAUACCGCAUACGUCCUGAGGGGGAAAGUGGGGGAUCUUCGGACCUCACGCUAUCAGAUGAGCCUAGGUCGGAUUAGCUAGUUGGUGGGGUAAAGGCCUACCAAGGCGACGAUCCGUAACUGGUCUGAGAGGAUGAUCAGUCACACUGGAACUGAGACACGGUCCAGACUCCUACGGGAGACAGCAGUGGGGAAUAUUGGACAAUGGGCGAAAGCCUGAUCCAGCCAUGCCGCGUGUGUGAAGAAGGUCUUCGGAUUGUAAAGCACUUUAAGUUGGGAGGAAGGGCAGUAAGUUAAUACCUUGCUGUUUUGACGUUACCAACAGAAUAAGCACCGGCUAACUUCGUG
rnacentral:rRNA from 1 species